CAGGGAUUACCUUAGUAACGGCGAGUGAAGCGGUAACGGCUCAAAUUUGAAAUCGGCCACCCGGUCGAGUUGUAAUUGCAGAGGAUGCUUCGGCUUACGCCCCGGCCCAAGUCCGUUGGAACACGGCGUCGCAGAGGGUGAGAAUCCCGUUGCGGCCGGCGGCCCCGCCAUGUGAAGCUCCUUCGACGAGUCGAGUUGUUUGGGAAUGCAGCUCAAAAUGGGAGGUAAAUUUCUUCUAAAGCUAAAUAUUGGCCCGAGACCGAUAGCGCACAAGUAGAGUGAUCGAAAGAUGAAAAGCAUCUUGGAAAGGAAUCGAAACAGCACGUGAAAUUGUUAAAGGGGAAGCGCUCGCGGCGAGAGCCCGCGCGGUCGUUCACCGGGGCCUCGCGCCCCGGGCACGCGGCCGCGUCGGCCAGCAUCGGUUCGGGCGGCGGGAGAAACGCCGACGGCAUGUGGCUCCCCCUCGGGGGAGUGUUAUAGCCGCGGCGCAAUACCGCCCGCCUGGACCGUGGCACGCGCUCUCGCUCGGAUGCUGGCGUAAUCGCCGCGAGCGGCCCGUCUUGAAACACGGAC
rnacentral:rRNA from 1 species